CCUUAAUUGAUGGACACCCAUUUCAUUUCCAGUUCUUUGCUACCACAAAGAAUGCUGCUAUCAAUAUUGUGAGGGUUGCCAGCUUCAAGUCUGAGGACAAGUAAAUGACCAUCAGCCGACGAGCCAGAUCUUACCGCAGAGGAUCAGUUCACUGGAAGGGAUUCUUUCCGGAAGGCCGAUGCUUGAUCUGGCUCAGAAACAAACAGUACCAGUAGGAAGACACAGGAUUCCAACAUUUUGGAUCAGCAUGCCAUGUACACCAUUCCAUUUACUGGAAUUUUUCUGCACACGGCUUUUCUCAGAAAGAGGCAAAUGACAAGAGGAGCUGAGAUGAAGGAUACAGUAAAAUGAAACAAACCAAGACAAAGCCAGCAUCCGGGGGAUGUCCUGGGGUCAGCACUGACGGCUCAAUUUCCUGCACUUUCAAGAUCGACACUGACCAAAUUGUAUCAGAAGAACUGACUUUGAACACGAAGACUCUCACGCUGGCAGGGUUGCCCAAGUGGCCAUGCUGGCGGGGUAGGGGGCAGACAGGGAGGAUGGGAGGGGUGACAAUGAAGCAUUGCCCAUUAGCCAGCAUGGUGGCAGAGGAGUUAUGCAUAAGAGUGAGGGGAAGCAAGCCAGUGCCUGCCCUGGACCAGUAGGGAUUGGGUCCAUCCUUGCUCCUUAGCACUUCCUCAUUUCUAGCUGCCUCAGUUUUGUGGGAUUUUUCAAUCAAUCAAUACAAUCAUUUAUUAAGCACCUACUCUGAACUAGGCACAGCAUAUACAAAGACAAUAAACAAACCAUUCCCAGCCCUCAAGGAGCUUAUGAUUCUUUAAAAGUUUUUUA